rnacentral:tRNA from 1 species
UGGCUCAGUCGGUAGAGCAUGUGACUCUUAAUCUCAGGGUCGUGAGUUCAAGUCCCAC